CACGUAGGGGACGAGCGUUGUCCGGAUUCAUUGGGCGUAAAGCGCGCGUAGGCGGCUCGGAAAGUCGGGCGUGAAAUGCCGGGGCUCAACCCCGGGACUGCGUCCGAUACUUCCGAGCUGGAGGUAGGUAGGGGAGAUCGGAAUUCCUGGUGUAGCGGUGAAAUGCGCAGAUAUCAGGAGGAACGCCGGUGGCGAAGGCGGAUCUCUGGGCCUUACCUGACGCUGAGGCGCGAAAGCUAGGGGAGCGAACAGG
rnacentral:rRNA from 1 species